rnacentral:rRNA from 1 species
CAGGCUUAACACAUGCAAGUCGAGGGGCAGCAUGGUCUUAGCUUGCUAAGGCCGAUGGCGACCGGCGCACGGGUGAGUAACACGUAUCCAACCUGCCGUCUACUCUUGGACAGCCUUCUGAAAGGAAGAUUAAUACAAGAUGGCAUCAUGAGUCCGCAUGUUCACAUGAUUAAAGGUAUUCCGGUAGACGAUGGGGAUGCGUUCCAUUAGAUAGUAGGCGGGGUAACGGCCCACCUAGUCUUCGAUGGGUAGGGGUUCUGAGAGGAAGGUCCCCCACAUUGGAACUGAGACACGGUCCAAACUCCUACGGGAGGCAGCAGUGAGGAAUAUUGGUCAAUGGGCGAGAGCCUGAACCAGCCAAGUAGCGUGAAGGAUGACUGCCCUAUGGGUUGUAAACUUCUUUUAUAAAGGAAUAAAGUCGGGUAUGGAUACCCGUUUGCAUGUACUUUAUGAAUAAGGAUCGGCUAACUCCGUGCCAGCAGCCGCGGUAAUACGGAGGAUCCGAGCGUUAUCCGGAUUUAUUGGGUUUAAAGGGAGCGUAGAUGGAUGUUUAAGUCAGUUGUGAAAGUUUGCGGCUCAACCGUAAAAUUGCAGUUGAUACUGGAUAUCUUGAGUGCAGUUGAGGCAGGCGGAAUUCGUGGUGUAGCGGUGAAAUGCUUAGAUAUCACGAAGAACUCCGAUUGCGAAGGCAGCCUGCUAAGCUGCAACUGACAUUGAGGCUCGAAAGUGUGGGUAUCAAACAGGAUUAGAUACCCUGGUAGUCCACACGGUAAACGAUGAAUACUCGCUGUUUGCGAUAUACUGCAAGCGGCCAAGCGAAAGCGUUAAGUAUUCCACCUGGGGAGUACGCCGGCAACGGUGAAACUCAAAGGAAUUGACGGGGGCCCGCACAAGCGGAGGAACAUGUGGUUUAAUUCGAUGAUACGCGAGGAACCUUACCCGGGCUUAAAUUGCAGAUGAAUUACGGUGAAAGCCGUAAGCCGCAAGGCAUCUGUGAAGGUGCUGCAUGGUUGUCGUCAGCUCGUGCCGUGAGGUGUCGGCUUAAGUGCCAUAACGAGCGCAACCCUUGUUGUCAGUUACUAACAGGUUCCGCUGAGGACUCUGACAAGACUGCCAUCGUAAGAUGUGAGGAAGGUGGGGAUGACGUCAAAUCAGCACGGCCCUUACGUCCGGGGCUACACACGUGUUACAAUGGGGGGUACAGAGGGCCGCUACCACGCGAGUGGAUGCCAAUCCCCAAAACCUCUCUCAGUUCGGACUGGAGUCUGCAACCCGACUCCACGAAGCUGGAUUCGCUAGUAAUCGCGCAUCAGCCACGGCGCGGUGAAUACGUUCCCGGGCCUUGUACACACCGCCCGUCAAGCCAUGGGAGCCGGGGGUACCUGAAGUGCGUAACCGCGAGGAGCGCCCUAGGGUAAAACUGGUGACUGGGGCUAAG